GACUAACGGGCAUCUUCAGAUUGGUUAGCGCGUGAGACUUUUAAUCUCAAGGCUCAGGGUUCGAGUCCCUGGUCGGGCG